rnacentral:rRNA from 1 species
AAGCAAAUCCCAAAAAUAACGUCUCAGUUCGGAUUGUAGUCUGCAACUCGACUACAUGAAGCUGGAAUCGCUAGUAAUCGCAGAUCAGAAUGCCGCGGUGAAUACGUUCCCGGGUCUUGUACACACCGCCCGUCACACCAUGGGAGUCGGAAAUGCCCGAAGUCUGUGACCUAACCGUAAGGAAGGAGCAGCCGAAGGCAGGUCGGAUGACUGGGGUGAAGUCGUAACAAGGUAGC